AUUUUUCUUUCAAAUAAUACACUACUACUACCUUAACAAUUUAUAGCUAGUAUAUUUUUUCCAAGAGUUCGGAUACUAUACUCUUAUGAGUAUGAUCGCUUUCGUACUUAUAAAUCGUUUUCGAUGAUAGUGCUUCCUAAUCGACGAUACAUACCGUUAAAUGUUAUCUAGAGCAUUUAAAACUUUUAGAAAUCAAAUUUUAUAAUUUUUUGGCAUCAUUUAUCUUACGAUGAAAAGAUUUCGAAAUUAACAAUUUUUAACGGCCGGUAUUGAAUAUUUGCUAGUUUAACGGUGUAAAAGUAUUGAAAUCGAUUGAAUUUUUUAUAAAGAAUUCUAUUCACUAUAUAGAUAAAGAUCAAUAACCCUGAUCUUAAAUUGAAGGAUCCGAUCAUUCAUUUUUAGGACGUCAGUGAACCAUAAUGUGGUCCCUGUAAUAUCUAUAUAUGGUUAGAGUAAACCUGAAUUGUGCCUUGACCAACUUGACCAGAUACUUAAUUUGCUCAAUCCCUAUUCAAAAAUUACUUCUUGGACCUGGUCCACCGCUAGCUGCGGACCGCCCAGUGAUCUCGAUUCUACAUAUAAAAUCCAUAUGCACUUUCACUAGAUCUUGUGAGUUAGAAUGAAAAAUGAAUUCCAAUUUAGUUCCCAGCAAAAUAUGAAUUGUAUUAAAAAUUUUAGAGUUUAAAAUUUAAAAUAUAAAUUUUAAAAUUUUAAAUUUUAAAUUAUAAGUUUAAUUUUUUAAAUUAUACGUUUCGAAUUUUAAACUUUAAUUUUAAAAUUUUUAAUUCUAAGUAAAAAGGGAUAUAUUAAUAAUUAUAUAUUUAUUAGUAACGAUAUUUAGCAACAAGUGCUGCUAGUUUAUUAUAUUUAGCAGCAUUCACUAAUUUACGUUGCUAAUUUAUCCUAUUUUGCAACAUUAAUAGUAAAUUGCUGCUAAAUAAUUAAAUCUAGCGGCAAUUAUCAACUAAUGCUGUUAAAUAUAUUAAUUAGCAUGAUUUAAAUAAAUGUUGCGGGGCAAAUAUCGCGGCAUUUAACAAUAAGUGUUGCUACUUUAUUAUAUUUAGUGUCUUUUUUUUAUAAAAUGCUGAAAACUUCAGCGGCAUUCACUAAUUUAUGCUGCUAAUUUAUCUUAUUUUGUAACAUUAAUAGUAAAUUACUGCUAAAUUAUUAAAUCUAGCAGCACUUAUUAAGUAAUGCUGUUAAAUAUAUUAAUUAACGUUAUUUAAAUAAAUGCUGCGGAAUAAAUACCGCUAAAUCAUAAAUUUGUUGUAGUGGG
rnacentral:lncRNA from 1 species